AUUGAACGCUGGCGGCAUGCUUUACACAUGCAAGUCGAACGGUAACAGGCCGCAAGGUGCUGACGAGCGGCGAACGGGUGAGUAAUGCAUCGGAACGUGCCCAGUCGUGGGGGAUAACGCAGCGAAAGCUGCGCUAAUACCGCAUACGAUCUCUGGAUGAAAGCGGGGGACCGAAAGGCCUCGCGCGAUUGGAGCGGCCGAUGUCAGAUUAGGUAGUUGGUGGGGUAAAGGCCCACCAAGCCAACGAUCUGUAGCUGGUCUGAGAGGACGACCAGCCACACUGGGACUGAGACACGGCCCAGACUCCUACGGGAGGCAGCAGUGGGGAAUUUUGGACAAUGGGCGCAAGCCUGAUCCAGCAAUGCCGCGUGCAGGAAGAAGGCCUUCGGGUUGUAAACUGCUUUUGUACGGAACGAAACGGUCCGGGUUAAUACCCUGGGCUAAUGACGGUACCGUAAGAAUAAGCACCGGCUAACUACGUGCCAGCAGCCGCAGUAAUAC
rnacentral:rRNA from 1 species